GCCCUUUCCCCACCCCCACCCCCUGCCAAGCCCAAGUGUGUGCUCCUUGCCCACCCUCGGUUUCUGGUGUCUGCGGGUGGGUGUUUAGAUAGCGCCAUCCGUUGCGUCGUUUAGAGUCCACCAACAGGUGAUGUCCUAGGGCACUUGUCUUUUUCCUUUCUGGCUUCCUUCGCUUAGCCUGAGGGUCUCUCGUUCCAGCCCCGCGGCGGCAGAUGGCACUCGUUCUGCCGCUUUUUCCUGGCUGUGUGCGAUGCCAUCGCAUAGAUGUCCCCGGGUCUGCGAAGUGCACUCACCUGUCAGUGGACCUUUAGGUGGCUUCCAGAUCUUGGCUCUGCCCCGCGGCGGCAGAUGGCACUCGUUCUGCCGCUUUUUCCUGGCUGUGUGCGAUGCCAUCGCAUAGAUGUCCCCGGUCUGCGAAGUGCACUCACCUGUCAGUGGACCUUUAGGUGGCUUCCAGAUCUUGGCUCUGGUGAGUAGUGCGGCGACAGACAGAGGGGUGCCCGGGUCUGCUUCCGGGAAAGUUUGGUCCCGGGAAAUGGAGCUGUUUGGAGGCCGGCUUCGGUCUUUGUGUGGGCCGGCCCGUGUAGGGCUGCUUGGCUGAGACUCUGUCGAGGAGGGAGGCCUUCAGCCACCGGGGCCUCACGGGGCCUACCCGUGCGGCACCAUCACAGAGCUCUCCGUCACUGCCCCUUGUGGGGGUGAGGGAAGGGGCGUGUGGGGGGGGGGCGUGUGUG
rnacentral:lncRNA from 1 species